AGUGAACGCUGGCGGUAGGCCUAACACAUGCAAGUCGAACGGCAGCACAGUAAGAGCUUGCUCUUACGGGUGGCGAGUGGCGGACGGGUGAGAAAUAAAUCGGAAUCUACUUUUUCGUGGGGGAUAACGUAGGGAAACUUACGCUAAUACCGCAUACGACCUACGGGUGAAAGCAGGGGAUCUUCGGACCUUGCGCGAUUGAAUGAGCCGAUGUCGGAUUAGCUAGUUGGCGGGGUAAAGGCCCACCAAGGCGACGAUCCGUAGCUGGUCUGAGAGGAUGAUCAGCCACACUGGAACUGAGACACGGUCCAGACUCCUACGGGAGGCAGCAGUGGGGAAUAUUGGACAAUGGGCGCAAGCCUGAUCCAGCCAUACCGCGUGGGUGAAGAAGGCCUUCGGGUUGUAAAGCCCUUUUGUUGGGAAAGAAAAGCAGCAGGUUAAUACCCCGCUGUUCUGACGGUACCCAAAGAAUAAGCACCGGCUAACUUCGUG
rnacentral:rRNA from 1 species